CCUACGGGAGGCAGCAGUGAGGAAUAUUGGUCAAUGGACGAGAGUCUGAACCAGCCAAGUAGCGUGAAGGAUGACUGCCCUAUGGGUUGUAAACUUCUUUUAUAAAGGAAUAAAACGAGGCACGUGUGCCUUUUUGCAUGUACUUUAUGAAUAAGGAUCGGCUAACUCCGUGCCAGCAGCCGCGGUAAUACGGAGGAUCCGAGCGUUAUACGGAUUUAUUGGGUUUAAAGGGAGCGUAGAUGGGUUGUUAAGUCAGUUGCGAAAGUUUGCGGCUCAACCGUAAAAUUGCAAUUGAUACUGGCAGUCUUGAGUACAGUUGAGGUAGGCGGAAUGCGUGGUGUAGCGGUGAAAUGCUUAGAUAUCACGAAGAACCCCGAUUGCGAAGGCAGCUUACUAAACUGUGACUGACAUUGAUGCUCGAAAGUGUGGGUAUCAAACAGGAUUAGAGACCCUUGUAGUC
rnacentral:rRNA from 1 species